rnacentral:misc_RNA from 1 species
AAAAAAAAAAAAAAAAAACUAUACCAAUCUAAUUGGGAAUAUAAACCAACACUAACUAGAAGAAUACUAAAUGUAAUAAAACUCUUCAAGAUAUUCCUAAAUAAAAAAAAAUCUAAACUUAUUUUUACAAUGAAAAAUUAAAUCAAAAUAAUUCCUAAAUUUAGUCUUGACUGCAUCACCCAAGUUUUUAGUUUUAAGCAGAAAUAAAAUGAAACUAAUUUAAUGCAACUUUAUUAACUACGAUGGUAGAUAAGGAUGUGGGGUUAGGUUGGAUCUAGUAUUAGCAUUUCAGAGGAUGUUUGAUAACAUAAUUAAGCACUUAAUUGCAGCACUUUUUUAUUUGUUUGUUUCAUAUUUUUUACCUACAUAUCACUUAAAAGUUUCAAUUAAGUUGAAAUUCUCUUAAAAUGACAAGUCAAAAUUCUUAACUUAAAAUAAAAAGUCGAUAUAAAACUAAUUUAUUGAUAUUAAAUUGAGCAAUUUAUUUUCAGAAAAUACCUAACUUUACAAUUUAAAAUUUUAAGCAUUUAUCUUAUCCAACAAUUUUAGCUGUUAAAUAUUUAGUAUUUAAUUUUCAGUUUUACCGAACACUACUUUAGUGUUCAUUUCAAUAUUAGGCACUAUCGUGCAAAGGGUUGGGGCAGUGUAGUCAAAAGCGUAAAACGUGUUCGCUAAAGCUAAAAAGUGUAGUGAUAAAUAGAAAAAUGCUUUUACAUAUGCUAAGGGAAGCACAU